rnacentral:sRNA from 1 species
GCUGGGCAUGGUGGUGCAUGCCUGUAAUCUCAGCUACUCGGGAGGCUGAGGCAGGAGAAUUGCUUGAACCCAGGAGGAGGAGGUUGUAGUGAGCUGAGAUCAUGCCAUUGCACUCCAGCCUGGGCAACAAGAGCAAAACUCGUAAUCCUAGCUACUCAGGAGACUGAGACAGGAGAAUUGCAUGAACCCGGGAGGCAGAAGUUGCAAUGAGCCGAGAUCACGCCAUUGCACUCCAGCCUGGGUGAUAGCGCGAGACUUUGUCUCA